UGGCCAGUUGACUGGUAUCUACUGGGAUUC
rnacentral:piRNA from 1 species